rnacentral:rRNA from 1 species
GACGAACGCUGGCGGCGUGCUUAACACAUGCAAGUCGAACGGUGAACGAGGGAGCUUGCUCCCUCCGGAUCAGUGGCGAACGGGUGAGUAACACGUGAGCAAUCUGCCCCGAACUCUGGGAUAAGCGUUGGAAACGACGUCUAAUACCGGAUACGACGCGGGAGGGCAUCCUCUCCGCGUGGAAAGAACUUCGGUUCGGGAUGAGCUCGCGGCCUAUCAGCUUGUUGGUGAGGUAACGGCUCACCAAGGCGACGACGGGUAGCCGGCCUGAGAGGGUGACCGGCCACACUGGGACUGAGACACGGCCCAGACUCCUACGGGAGGCAGCAGUGGGGAAUAUUGCACAAUGGGCGCAAGCCUGAUGCAGCAACGCCGCGUGAGGGACGGCGGCCUUCGGGUUGUAAACCUCUUUUAGCAGGGAAGAAGCGAAAGUGACGGUACCUGCAGAAAAAGCACCGGCUAACUACGUG